AGUGAGCGCUGGCGGUAGGCCUAACACAUGCAAGUCGAACGGCAGCACAGUAAGAGCUUGCUCUUACGAGUGGCGAGUGGCGGACGGGUGAGGAAUACAUCGGAAUCUACUUUUUCGUGGGGGAUAACGUAGGGAAACUUACGCUAAUACCGCAUACGACCUACGGGUGAAAGCAGGGGAUCUUCGGACCUUGCGCGAUUGAAUGAGCCGAUGUCGGAUUAGCUAGUUGGCGGGGUAAAGGCCCACCAAGGCGACGAUCCGUAGCUGGUCUGAGAGGAUGAUCAGCCACACUGGAACUGAGACACGGUCCAGACUCCUACGGGAGGCAGCAGUGGGGAAUAUUGGACAAUGGGCGCAAGCCUGAUCCAGCCAUACCGCGUGGGUGAAGAAGGCCUUCGGGUUGUAAAGCCCUUUUGUUGGGAAAGAAAAGCAGCAGGUUAAUACCCCGCUGUUCUGACGGUACCCAAAGAAUAAGCACCGGCUAACUUCGUG
rnacentral:rRNA from 1 species